UCCUACGGGAGGCAGCAGUGAGGAAUAUUGGACAAUGGUCGGAAGACUGAUCCAGCCAUGCCGCGUGCAGGAUGACUGCCCUAUGGGUUGUAAACUGCUUUUGUACGAGAAGAACGCCCUCUUCGUGAAGAGGACUGACGGUAUCGUACGAAUAAGGACCGGCUAACUCCGUGCCAGCAGCCGCGGUAAUACGGAGGGUCCGAGCGUUAUCCGGAAUCAUUGGGUUUAAAGGGUCCGUAGGCGGGCUAUUAAGUCAGAGGUGAAAUUGUGCAGCUCAACUGUAGAACUGCCUUUGAUACUGAUAGUCUUGAGUUAUGGUGAGGUAGCCGGAACAUGUGGUGUAGCGGUGAAAUGCAUAGAUAUCACAUAGAACGCCGAUUGCGAAGGCAGGUUACCAGCCAUAUACUGACGCUGAUGGACGAAAGCGUGGGGAGCGAACGGGAUUAGAUACCCCGCUAGUCCACGCCGUAAACGAUGGAUACUAGCUGUUGGGUUUUCGGGCUCAGCGGCCAAGCGAAAGUGAUAAGUAUCCCACCUGGGGAGUACGUUCGCAAGAAUGAAACUCAAAUGAAUUGACGGA
rnacentral:rRNA from 1 species